AGUGAACGCUGGCGGUAGGCCUAACACAUGCAAGUCGAACGGCAGCACAGUAAGAGCUUGCUCUUACGGGUGGCGAGUGGCGGACGGGUGAGGAAUACAUCGGAAUCUACUUUUUCGUGGGGGAUAACGUAGGGAAACUUACGCUAAUACCGCAUACGACCUACGGGUGAAAGCAGGGGAUCUUCGGACCUUGCGCGAUUGAAUGAGCCGAUGUCGGAUUAGCUAGUUGGCGGGGUAAAGGCCCACCAAGGCGACGAUCCGUAGCUGGUCUGAGAGGAUGAUCCGCCCAACUUGAACCUGGACACCGUUCAGACUCCUACGGGAGGCAGCAGUGGGGAAUAUUGGACAAUGGGCGCAAGCCUGAUCCAGCCAUACCGCGUGGGUGAAGAAGGCCUUCGGGUUGUAAAGCCCUUUUGUUGGGAAAGAAAAGCAGCAGGUUAAUACCCCGCUGUUCUGACGGUACCCAAAGAAUAAGCACCGGCUAACUUCGUG
rnacentral:rRNA from 1 species